UACGUAGGGUGCAAGCGUUAAUCGGAAUUACUGGGCGGAAAGCGUGCGCAGGCGGUUUUGUAAGUCUGACGUGAAAUCCCCGGGCUCAACCUGGGAAUUGCGUUGGAGACUGCAAGGCUAGAAUCUGGCAGAGGGGGGUAGAAUUCCACGUGUAGCAGUGAAAUGCGUAGAGAUGUGGAGGAACACCGAUGGCGAAGGCAGCCCCCUGGGUCAAGAUUGACGCUCAUGCACGAAAGCGUGGGGAGCAAACAGG
rnacentral:rRNA from 1 species